rnacentral:misc_RNA from 1 species
GAUGAAGAACGUAGUGAAAUGCGAUAAGUAAUGUGAAUUGCAGAAUUCAGUGAAUCAUCGAAUCUUUGAACGCACAUUGCGCCCGCUAGUAUUCUGGCGGGCAUGCCUGUUCGAGCGUCAUUUCAACCCUCAAGCUCUGCUUGGUGUUGGGAAUCGGCGUAGCGGCCUUCGGGCAGCUGCCGUUCCCUAAAUCUAGUGGCGGUCCCGCUGUAGCCUCCUCUGCGUAGUAGUUUUCUCCUCGCACCGGCAGCUUAGUGGUGACCUCGCCGUAAAACCCCCAACUUCUGAAAGGUUGACCUCGAAUCAGGUAGGAAUACCCGCUGAACUUAAGCAUAUCAAUAAGCGGAGGA